rnacentral:piRNA from 1 species
UGUUCACCGUGGCAGGUUUCUUGCUGAC